rnacentral:misc_RNA from 1 species
UAAAAACAUAAUUCAAUCAAUUAAAGAGAAUUUGAAAGUAAUCCAUGAGAUCGAAGUCAAACCCUAACUUUUAGUUUUCAAGUUUUAAAAUUAAGGGUUUUGGAAGGGCUCUAUGGGUAAAGGCUACCCAUAGAUGAAAAGCUACCGUACCUUAAUUCAGACUCACCAUGAAUUUGGGAAGAAAAAGUUAGAUUCUUCAAUCCUAGCUUCUCCUUUCAUCAUCUUCUUCUUCCUUGAAAUUCUAGAGGGAAGAUUUUAGGAAAAAUUAGUUAUGGAUUUUGGUCUUUGGAUUUAUGAGGUGUAAGGAUUAGUUAAUGAAUUGAAAACACUUAUAUAAGUAUAUUAAAACAAUAAAAUGACCCCACAUCAAAUAAA